rnacentral:misc_RNA from 1 species
GGGUUCCCCUCCAUCUCUCCUUCCACUCCUCGCCGGAAAAUCUUCUUCCGGCAGUUGACACUUGAAUCCACAGCGUUAUCAAUAUUGUUCAUAUUUUUCUCCUAUUUUUUCGGCUGAGGGCCGUCUUUUCCUGUAUUCGACCGUUGACAAUUUUAUCCAUCUCGUGGUUCCGUUGAAAUCUCAAGUACAAGUUUUUUUAUUGAAUAAUUUGAUUGCUGUAGAGUUCAGAUGCCGACGAGUCAAGGAGGAGGAUCAUCAUCGAGGAGAAGCAUAUCGUUGACGAACUCUUCUUCACUUGCUAAGAAGAAAGCAGCAGCGGAAAAUGAAGGAGUACAACCGGAUUCUGCUCACCGGAAGUCGAUUUCUGUAUCUCGUUCUAUGGGACUGACUGGAGAGCGCACAGUUAAGAGAUUGAGGCUGUCAAAAGCCCUUACAAUACCUGAUACUACAAGUAUUUAUGAAGCUUGCCGCAAGAUGGCUGCUCGCAGAGUUGAUGCUUUGUUGUUGACUGAUUCAAAUGCAUUACUAUGUGGUAUCCUGACAGAUAAGGAUAUAGCAACGAGGGUUAUUGCUCCAGAAGUUAAUAUACAGGAAACACCAGUUUCAAAGAUAAUGACGAAAAAUCCGGUUUUUGUGCUUUCUGACACACUUGCUGUGGAGGCUUUGCAGAAAAUGGUGCUAGGAAAAUUCAGACAUUUGCCAGUUGUGGAAAAUGGAGAGGUUAUUGCUUUACUUGAUAUAGCAAAAUGUCUUUAUGAUGCCAUCGCUCGACUUGAAAGAGCAGCUGAGAAAGGAAAGGCCAUUGCAGCUGCUGUUGAGGGUGUUGAAAAGCACUGGGGCUCAUCUGUUUCUGGUUCUAAUACAUUUAUUGAAACACUUCAGGAGCGGAUGUUCAAGCCUUCGCUUUCAACGAUCAUCUCUGAGAAUUCAAAGGUUGUUAUAGUUGAACCAAGUGAUACUGUUUUAGCCACAGCAAAAAAGAUGCUUGAAUCUCGAACAAGCUCUGCAAUAGUAAUGGUUGACAACAAACCACGAGGAAUUUUAACUUCAAAAGACAUGUUGAUGCGAGUCAUUGCUCAAGAUCUCUCCCCUGAGUCCAUUCUCGUUGAGAGGGUAAUGACCCCCAGUCCAGAAUGUUCUACAACUGAUACACCUAUUGUUGAUGCUUUACAUACAAUGCAUGAUGGCAAGUUUUUACACCUUCCUGUGGUGGAUAAAGAGGGUACUGUUGUUGCUGUCCUUGAUGUUCUUCAUAUCACUCAUGCAGCUGUAUCCACGGUGGGACAAAAUGCUGGACCGAACAAUGAAGCUGCAAACACUAUGAUGCAAAGAUUUUGGGAUUCAGCUAUGGCAUUGACUCCAGAUGAUGAUGAAGAGACACGGAGCGAGGGUUCAUUGAAAUUAGCUUCUGAAGGUGCAGAAACAGGAAGAUCAAAUCUUUAUCCUUCGGCGAGCCUGCCAAAUACUUUUGCCUUCAAGAUUCAAGACCGAAAGGGAAGGAUGCACAGAUUCAACUGUGAUAUACGGAGCGUGACAGAUCUCAUAACUUCGAUCAUUCAGAGAUUGGGGAAUGACAUUGACCGAAACAACCUUCCUCAGAUUUUGUAUGAAGAUGAAGACCAAGACAAGGUUAUCCUAGCAUCAGAUAGUGAUCUUACAGCAGCAGUUGAACAUGCAAAGUUGUCAGGCUGGAAGGGACUGAGAUUGCACUUAGACUAUUCAGGAACGCCUGGUCGUAGGAGAGGUUCCAACUCGGAAAGUUUGGAUUAUGCUCAUCCAGAAUCUGCAUGGGCCUCAGCCUACACUGCUGUAGCAGCUGGUGCUGCAUUGGCCGCGAGUUUAGGUGUAUUUGCUUUCUUAAGGAGAUCCGGUGAGUGAUCAGUCGAAAGUAAUUCGCCACGUGAUAUACAUUCCCUGCACUGGGA